UACGUAGGUGGCGAGCGUUGUCCGGAUUUACUGGGCGUAAAGAGCGCGCAGGCGGUCGUACAAGUCGCGUGUGAAAGCCCCCGGCUCAACUGGGGAGGGUCACGCGAUACUGUUCGACUCGAAGGCAGGAGAGGGAAGUGGAAUUCCCCGGUGUAGUGGUGAAAUGCGUAGAUAUCGGGAGGAACACCAGUGGCGAAGGCGACUUACUGGGUCUCUUCUGACGCUGAGAUACGAAAGCUAGGGAGCGAAGGGG
rnacentral:rRNA from 1 species